GCACACCCUGAUCUGUGUUGGAGGAGAUUUGUGACCUAUACACAAGAGGAGGGUUGAGGAUCCAGGUUUGAAUAACGGGAAUAAGGGGACUCCUUAUCCCUCUCCUCUCUGAUUGGAGGACAGGAUGGUACUGUCAAAAUCUGAGCUCUCUUUCCUUUCGGAGUUCACCUUAGCCUCUGCUGCACAUCAAGCUUCCCUACACCACAAUGAGCUGCUACCCCUGGAAUCAGGUGUGACUAUCUGACAGGCUGGUCUACGGACGUUUCCCUGGAACCAGGUGUGACUGUAUCUGACACGCUUGUCAACGGACGUUUCCCUGGACUCAGGUAUGACUAUCUGACAGGCUGGUCUAUGGAUGUUUCCCUGGACUCAGGUGUGACUAUCUGACAGGCUGGUCUAUGAAUGUUUCCCUGGACUCAGGUGUGACUGUAUCUGACAGGCUGGUCUACGGACGUUUCCCUGGACCCAGGUGUGACUGUAUCUGACAGGCUGGUCUACGGACGUUUCCCUGGACCCAGGUGUGACUAUCUGACAGGCUGGUCUACUGACGUUUCCCUGGACCCUGGUGUGACUGUAUCUGACAGGCUGGUCUACGGACGUUUCCCUGGACCCAGGUGUGACUGUAUCUGACAGGCUGGUCUACGGACGUUUCCCUGGACCCAGGUGUGACUGUAUCUGACAGGCUGGUCUACGGACGUUUCCCUGGACCCUGGUGUGACUGUAUCUGACAGGCUGGUCUACGGACGUUUCCCUGGACCCUGGUGUGACUGUAUCUGACAGGCUGGUCUACGGACGUUUCCCUGGACCCUGGUGUGACUGUAUCUGACAGGCUGGUCUACGGACGUUUCCCUGGACCCAGGUGUGACUGUAUCUGACAGGCUGGUCUAUGGAUGUUUCCCUGGACCCUGGUGUGACUGUAUCUGACAGGCUGGUCUACGGACGUUUCCCUGGACCCUGGUGUGACUAUCUGACAGGCUGGUCUACGGACGUUUCCCUGGACCCAGGUGUGACUGUAUCUGACAGGCUGGUCUACGGACGUUUCCCUGGACCCAGGUGUGACUGUAUCUGACAGGCUGGUCUACGGACGUUUCCCUGGACCCUGGUGUGACUGUAUCUGACAGGCUGGUCUACGGACGUUUCCCUGGACCCUGGUGUGACUGUAUCUGACAGGCUGGUCUACGGACGUUUCCCUGGACCCAGGUGUGACUGUAUCUGACAGGCUGGUCUACGGACGUUUCCCUGGACCCUGGUGUGACUGUAUCUGACAGGCUGGUCUACGGACGUUUCCCGCAGUGUGAUGCAAGGUUCCAGAUAAAUAAACCCACUUUGUUGCAUUCUUGUCCUCAGAGAAGACAGAACGGGUAUCUUCACAGGUGGACAGAGGGACAGCUUUUUGUGUGUUAACAUGUUAACAGGUGUGGGUUAGUUAUGCAUGUAGCAUAAAUAAUGAGACGCGAACCAGUAAAGUGUGUGUGUGUUAUAGAGAAACACCUCUGUCAACCUCUAACCACUCAAUCUGUUGUUGUCAAGUUGUCAUUGCAAAGCUCAAGGGACUCUUUAUGUGAAGUCACAUCUACACUGGCACUGAGAGAAACUGAGACCUCGUGUAUUAAAAAAGACAAGCGAACAAAUACAUUUAAAAAAACUAUGAUGUCACUCUACCAGAGAUCUGGGAGCUGAGACCUUUAAGGGGUUUAACUUAUCCUGAUAAUCUGAUUCUACUGCUCUGUUAUUUUGUUUUUGGUCUGUUUGAGACUUCCUUCCUGUUUAGAUGCAGACCUGCUGGUUAACCCUGGGGAACGAGAUGAUAAAAACAGUUACAGGACGUGCCCUGAGCACACGUUCACCACUGCACGCUUGAAUGAAUGUGUCUGACUUACACGUCUACCACUGCACGCUGACUUACACAAAUAAACGUGCAGAAGUGAGAUGUUAGUGCAGGGAUCCAUGUUUUUGUCAUUGAGCAUAGAACAUUGUUCAUCAUUUAUAUUCCCAGCACCGCUGAGCGGUGGUAGUGUGUCUGUGUGCUAAUAUUUGCUCUGAAAUGGCUUAAUUCUCAUUUGGAAAAAAAAAAAAAAACAUAACUCUGCAAGACUUUGAUGUCAUUGAGGACCUUACGCAAACAUGUGAUUUAAGUGUGUAGAUCUUGGGUUAGGAUUUUGUCCCAAACAAGUGUGAAGCAUCCUUCACUAUAGCUCUGUUACUGUCUGAGGCUAAUUACUGUACCCCACCCGCUGCUCCUAGAGUUACGUAUACCUCUGUGCACCCUAACCCAAAGCCCACAUCCAACACUCAUUCCAAUGAUGGCUUCCUGAAAAUCCACAAGCUUCCUUACGAAAACCAAAUGUCGGUUUCCUCGAACUUCCCGAUUUGUUUACAACCUAAACCCUAAUGCAAAAAUCCAGACAGUCUCAUCUGAAUCCAGAAACCUCAGUCCAAAACCCAACCCAGUUCAGACCCCGUUUAUCCUGUAGUACCCGAACCAGUUCUGAAACCUCUAAGCCAAAAUCACAGACCUACCUCCCCUAUAUAGUUUAUCCAUCUCCGUCCCCAUCCUCGUUCACAACGCCCUCUGCAGUCCCCCAAAGCACAAAGGUUAGAGUGGUGUAGGAGUAAGCUGCGAAAGAGAAACCCUUCCAUUCUGUUUGUGUCGGUCUGUCUAUCUGUUUAUGGCUUUUAUAAAUGUGGUGCUUUUGUAUUCCGAAUGUACAGAUGCUCCUUCUUUUCUGUCUGUGUCAGAACGUUGUCAGAACGUUGUCAGAACGUUGUAUUACUGGGAAUUUAAAACCGAUGACUCUUCAUGUGCUUCAAACACAUCUAUUUCUAUUUUUUAUUUCUUCUUUUUUGGCAAUUGCUCCAAGGUCAUGUAGAUUAAAAGAUGAGUAGGUAAACAAAAAUACAUAAAUACAGAGAUAUAUUGAUCAAUUUCAAGAGAUGCCAUGUUUGAGCUGUUCAGAAACUGUAGUCUAACUUUGGGAUUUGGUUUCUGUUCCCUGUUUUGUUCUAACUUUGUGUAUGCUUUCAAUGUGCUUCAGAAAUACAGUAAUAUUUAUUAUGAUCGUUAAAUUAUUAUUACAGUUAUCAUGAUUACUGAAGUUAUUAAUAAAUAUUUCUUUCUUCAACGAGA